CAUAAUUUGGUGGAUAUCCUUUCGCGACACUUGCAUCAUUUAAGCACCGCUUGGAAAACAAAGAAAAAUUUAACUAAUUGGACACGUUACAAAAAAUGUUCCGUUCUCAACCACAAAAUGUUAGGAUCUGAAUCGAUCAUCAAGGGGUCAUGAUCGGAUAUAUAAAGAUGCCAAGUGUUUUCUGAAAGAGAAACUCCCAUUAAAUUAAUUAGUGAAAGAUGGGCAGAGAAUUCCUUGCUAUGUUUCAUGGUGGCUACGGAGAUGAAGUAAUUAUGCAUAAAUCUGGGGUUUUAUUUUUGCUGGGAAUGAUUUUUCUGUCUCUUUCGGUUAUAUCAAUGAUCAUAUUUGCUUGUGGGGCUGACAAUUCCCACGAGUAUCGACGAAAAAGAAAUCGUGGUCUAACUGGACUUGGUGGUGAUGAUGGUGGGGGUGGUUCUAAUGACGGUGGCGGUGGCGGUGGUGGUGGCUGAUUAGAUCAUCCGCUUGUGAAGGAAAUGAUGCGACAUGAGUAUAUGGAACUCACACUUAAUUCAUGUAAACAAAUAGACCAACAUAGCAUUUGUAUGUAUGAGUGUUCAAAUUGUAUAUACUACUGAAUCUAUUCAGUUGAGUUCCUAUAAUUCUCUGAGAUGAUCAAAGUUCUGAUUGUUGCAUGCUUCUUCAACAUUCAAGAUAGUGUUAUUAAUUGCAUAGUGUAAUUUUUCAUUUUUAUUAGAUGCACCGGGUUUUCUGUGGGUGUUAAAUUUUAAUAUUUUGUUUUCUUGUAAUUUUUAUUAAUUUAUUUGUUGCUAUUGCACUUAAUUUAAGCAGAUAAGAGGAAAAUGCAGCCUUGGUUGUGAUCAAAUCGGUAUGAAUGUAAUAUGCUAUAUCAAUGUUUAAAUGUAUAUCUUGA